AAGUUUUCGGAUGGAAGCGGAUGCGACCCUAUUGGCGGACGGGUGAGUAACGCGUGGGUAACCUGCCUCAUACAGGGGGAUAACAGUUAGAAAUGACUGCUAAUACCGCAUAAGCGCACAGGACCGCAUGGUCCGGUGUGAAAAACUCCGGUGGUAUGAGAUGGACCCGCGUCUGAUUAGCUGGUUGGCGGGGUAACGGCCCACCAAGGCGACGAUCAGUAGCCGACCUGAGAGGGUGGCCGGCCACAUUGGGACUGAGACACGGCCCAAACUCCUACGGGAGGCAGCAGUGGGGAAUAUUGCACAAUGGGGGAAACCCUGAUGCAGCAACGCCGCGUGAGUGAAGAAGUAUUUCGGUAUGUAAAGCUCUAUCAGCAGGGAAGAAAAAAGACGGUACCUGACUAAGAAGCCCCGGCUAACUACGUGCCAGCAGCCGCGGUAAUACGUAGGGGGCAAGCGUUAUCCGGAUUUACUGGGUGUAAAGGGAGCGUAGACGGCAUAGCAAGUCUGAAGUGAAAGCCCGUGGCUCAACCGCGGAACUGCUUUGGAAACUGUUAAGCUGGAGUACUGGAGAGGCAAGCGGAAUUCCUAGUGUAGCGGUGAAAUGCGUAGAUAUUAGGAGGAACACCAGUGGCGAAGGCGGCUUGCUGGACAGAGACUGACGUUGAGGCUCGAAAGCGUGGGGAGCAAACAGGAUUAGAUACCCUGGUAGUCCACGCGGUAAACGAUGAAUGCUAGGUGUUGGCGGGCAAAGCCCGUCGGUGCCGCCGNCAACGCAUUAAGCAUUCCACCUGGGGAGUACGUUCGCAAGAAUGNAAC
rnacentral:rRNA from 1 species